UACGUAGGGCGCAAGCGUUUAUCCGGAAUUAUUGGGCGUAAAGAGCUCGUAGGCGGUUUGUCGCGUCUGCCGUGAAAGUCCGGGGCUCAACUCCGGAUCUGCGGUGGGUACGGGCAGACUAGAGUGAUGUAGGGGAGACUGGAAUUCCUGGUGUAGCGGUGAAAUGCGCAGAUAUCAGGAGGAACACCGGUGGCGAAGGCGGGUCUCUGGGCCGUUACUGACGCUGAGGAGCGAAAGCGUGGGGAGCGAACAGG
rnacentral:rRNA from 1 species